rnacentral:rRNA from 1 species
AGUGAACGCUGGCGGUAGGCCUAACACAUGCAAGUCGAACGGCAGCACAGUAAGAGCUUGCUCUUACGGGUGGCGAGUGGCGGACGGGUGAGGAAUACAUCGGAAUCUACUUUUUCGUGGGGGAUAACGUAGGGAAACUUACGCUAAUACCGCAUACGACCUACGGGUGAAAGCAGGGGAUCUUCGGACCUUGCGCGAUUGAAUGAGCCGAUGUCGGAUUAGCUAGUUGGCGGGGUAAAGGCCCACCAAGGCGACGAUCCGUAGCUGGUCUGAGAGGAUGGUCGGCCACACUGGAACUGAGACACGGUCCAGACUCCUGAGGUACGCAGCAGUGGGGAAUAUUGGACAAUGGGCGGAAGCCUGAUCCAGCCAUACCGCGUGGGUGGAGAAGGCCUUCGGGUUGUAAAGCCCUUUUGUUGGGAAAGAAAAGCAGCAGGUUAAUACCCCGCUGUUCUGACGGUACCCAAAGAAUAAGCACCGGCUAACUUCGUG